rnacentral:tRNA from 1 species
GCCGACGUGGCUCAGCAGCGACAGCAGCAGUUUUGUAAACUGCCGGGCACUGCCCCACGAGAGUGCGAGUCUCUCCGUCGGCU